rnacentral:lncRNA from 1 species
GGUACAUGCCUUUAAUCCCAGCACUCCAGAGGCAGAGGCAGGUGGAUUUUGAGUUUGAGGCCAGCCUGGUAUACAAAGUGAGUUCCAGGAUAGCCACAGCUAUACAGAGAAACCCUGUCUCGAAAAAAAUUAAAAAAAAAAAAACCCAAAACAAAACAAAAGAACUAUUUCAUCAAACUGAAAUGCAGGAACACAUGUAAGAGAAUUCUUACAGACUAUAUAACAAACAUGUUUGAGCCCUCAAAUAUGGAACUUGGGGAUAAACUGAUGAUAUGGCCAACCUUUGUUGCACAUAGUCUCCCCAUCCGCAUGUACUGACAACCAACCUGGCAGAGUCUUGUUUGCAGGUUCUUCUGCUGUCCAUGGCUCCUCUCCCUGUUCCAAUUUAAAGAUCAACUCAGGUUUAGGGAUGCAUUGCCCUGUUAAUAGAAAAUAAUAUAGGACUUGGAAAAAUUUUGCUUAAAUGUUCUUUGGAGAAAGAUAAAACCAGGUUUUAGGAUCUAUGUAACUAAAGUGCAAAUGUGCACCUUUCCCUAGAGAGCAGUGAACAGUCAUACAAUUCGUGGCCUAAAACCUUAGCUCUCAACCUUACAAGGGCCCAUAUAUUUCCUGCAGGGUUGGUGCUUGCUCCUGAUACUGACCCAGUGACAGCAGGCUAUUAUAUGUCUCCAGCAUCACACUCCUGUACAGCAUCUUCUGAGCGUCGUUGAGAUUCUGCCACUCCUCCCAGGUGAACUUCACAGUGACGUCCUCAAAAGACACCAACUCCUGUAACAGCACAUUUCUCCUCAAUCAAUUUACUCUAGGCUUGUAAAAGGGAAACUGAAGACCAGCUUUUUUUUUUUUUUUUUUUUUUGUGGAAGGCUCUCAUGUGUAUUUUGCAUUAUAAUAUACCUUGCUUGCAUAGUAGAAAAAAAUCUUUUAAAGAUUUAUUUAUUUAUUAUAUGUAAGUACACUGUAGCUGUCUUCAGACGCACCAGAAGAGGGCAUCAGAUCUCAUUACGGAUGGUUGUGAACCAUCAUGUGGUUGCUGGGAUUUGAACUUGUGAACUUCAGAAGAGCAGUCAUUGCUCUUAAUCGCUGAGUCAUCUCUCCAGCCCAGAAAAAAAUUUUUUAAAAACCCAUCCUGAUGUCAUUGAUUGAUUAAUGUACUGCCUGAUAAUAUUAUAAUUAAAACCUUCACUGUUGGUGUAAGAGAACUGAGACCACUGGGGUAACCAGGCCUUACUCAGAUAGGGCUGCAGGUGAACAUGAACAUACCCACGCCUCACUCUGCCUCCUAAGAGUUGGAGGCAGCCUGACUACUGUCAUGUUGUAUGGGUUGUGCAAUAAGAAUUCCCACUCUCACAGGGUGUGGUGGCGCAAGCCUUUAAUCCCAGCACUAGGGAGGCAGAGGCAGGCAAAUUUCUGAGUUCGAGGCCAGCCUGGUCUACAGAGUGAGUUCCAGGACAGUGGGAACUACAGAGAAACCCUGUCUCAAAAAAAUCAAAAAG